GUAAGUUUAGUUGCUAAAAUCACACAAAUAUUACACACAAACGUUCCUGGCACGUUUCUUACUUGUUAUUGACAUGUUUCAAUUAAAUUUAUUUUAUAGAAAUAGUUUAGUGUCUUCGAAAAUGUCCGUUAGAAUCUUAGCAGUUUUCAGGAGGACAGAAAGAAACUCUACAGAACAGAAGUGAAGCUCCAAGAUUUCAACAUUUCCGAAGGGAGAUACUGACUUAGAAAUACAGGAGGACAGAAAGAAACUCUACAGAACAGAAGUGAAGCUCCAAGAUUUCAACAUUUCCGAAGGGAGAUACUGACUUAGAAAUACAGGUGAACUGAAGAAGCUCAUGAACUACAUUAAUAUGCCUUUUUCAGAAUAUAUUUCAAAAAUUUUAAGAAGUCCCUGACAUCAAGCAUCAGCUGAUUACCUUCAAAUAAACCUGGAACUGCAGAGUAAAUAUUGUUGGCUCUGUGACAGGUUGCUUGUUUUGUUCCUAGACUCUUCAGUGAUGAUGAGCAGAGUUGGAGUGAACCUACUGUCAGACCCAAUGGCGGCUCAUGGAGCCUCUAAAUAGUUCCCGGAAGUAGCAGCAAACCGAUGCCGCGCUGUAGAGAUGCAGCAGAACAAACCGUUUGCAACGCACUUUUAAAAGGUGGAGGAUUAGUGGUGCCACUGGACUGUUCUGUGAUGGAGCAUCAGUGAGGAUGCAGACCCAGGUAACUGGCUGAUGGUUCACUGUAAUGCUGACUGGCUGCUGACUGACUUGCUGCUGGUUGACUGGGCAGUUACCUGUCCCUGUCUCUCCUCUCUAGCCAUGUCCUCUAUUUCUUCACUGUCA